CGAAGGGGGCUAGCGUUGCUCGGAAUUACUGGGCGUAAAGGGAGCGUAGGCGGGUUAUCAAGUUGGAGGUGAAAGCCCAGGGCUCAACCUUGGAAUUGCCUUCAAAACUGAUAGCCUAGAGUAUGAUAGAGGUAAGUGGAACUCCGAGUGUAGAGGUGAAAUUCGUAGAUAUUCGGAAGAACACCAGUGGCGAAGGCGACUUACUGGAUCAUGACUGACGCUGAGGCUCGAAAGCGUGGGGAGCAAACAGGAUUAGAUACCCUGGUAGUCCACGCUGUAAACGAUGAUUGCUAGUUGUCAGCCGGCAUGCCGGUUGGUGACGCAGCUAACGCAUUAAGCAAUCCGCCUGGGGAGUACGGUCGCAAGAUUA
rnacentral:rRNA from 1 species